GGUGUCUGCGUCUACAGAUUGUGUAUGAGUAGAUGUCAAGGCAGCAUUCUUUAUCAGCACUGUAUGUGGUGCCACCUAAUGCACUGGAUGUGAAACAUGUCUACUGUAAGGAGGAGCAAGAGUUUGAUGCCAGGGCAUUAUUUGCAUGUGCCUGUGUGGGUUCUUCUUGCUGCUCUUGAUGGUUGGAACUCUGUAUGAUGUCUUUGUGCACCAUAUAGUUGCAAAACGCAUUGUAGCACAGAUUUCUGCCAAUACCUAUGAGGAGGAUACUGAAUACAAACCCCUGCUAAGUAAGACAGAUGAUGCAGGUUUAACUGCAGAGAACUACCUGGCAAGUCAGUGUAUGUGUCUGAAGAUUAUACUAUGCUUCUCACUCUACACAAAUCUUGGCAAGUUGCUGUCAACAAAGAAGACUGCAGGACAGUUGACGUGCAUUCAUGGAAUACGCUUUCUCAGCCUUAGCUGGGUAAUUUUGGGUCACACUUAUGCAUUCUCGCUUCCUCUAAUAGCUAACCCUCUGGCGUUUGCAACAGUGUAAAGUCAUUCUGGUUCCAGACAAUUUUAAAUGCCACAUUUUCAGUCGACUCUUUCUUUGUUAUGAGUGGUUUGCUGCUCACCUAUUUGUUCCUGAAGGAGAUGAAGGCAAAAGGAUCAAUGCCCGUCUCUCUCUACCAAUGUUUUACUUCAUAGAUUUUGGAGGUUGACUCACCCUAUAUGUUGGUGUUGGGGCUUCAUGUUUGCCUGUUCAAGUACUUUGCAGACGCCUAUGUGGCCUUCAGAUGGUAUAGAGAAAGACAAUUGCCGAUCUUCCUGGUGGAAAAACAUACUGUAUAUCAACAUCUGUUCUCCUCGUUGGAUGGUAAC